rnacentral:rRNA from 1 species
GAUGAACGCUGGCGGCGUGCCUAAUACAUGCAAGUCGAGCGAACAGACGAGGAGCUUGCUCCUCUGACGUUAGCGGCGGACGGGUGAGUAACACGUGGAUAACCUACCUAUAAGACUGGGAUGACUUCGGGAAACCGGAGCUAAUACCGGAUAAUAUAUUGAACCGCAUGGUUCAAUAGUGAAAGACGGUUUUGCUGUCACUUAUAGAUGGAUCCGCGCCGCAUUAGCUAGUUGGUAAGGUAACGGCUUACCAAGGCAACGAUGCGUAGCCGACCUGAGAGGGUGAUCGGCCACACUGGAACUGAGACACGGUCCAGUCUCCUACGGGAGGCAGCAGUAGGGAAUCUUCCGCAAUGGGCGAAAGCCUGACGGAGCAACGCCGCGUAAGUGAUGAAGGUCUUCGGAUCGUAAAACUCUGUUAUUAGGGAAGAACAAAUGUGUAAGUAACUAUGCACGUCUUGACGGUACCUAAUCAGAAAGCCACGGCUAACUACGUG